rnacentral:rRNA from 1 species
UACGUAGGGUGCGAGCGUUGUCCGGAAUUACUGGGCGUAAAGAGCUCGUAGGUGGUUUGUCGCGUUGUCCGUGAAAACUCACAGCUCAACUGUGGGCGUGCGGGCGAUACGGGCAGACUGGAGUACUGCAGGGGAGACUGGAAUUCCUGGUGUAGCGGUGGAAUGCGCAGAUAUCAGGAGGAACACCGAUGGCGAAGGCAGGUCACUGGGCCGCAACUGACGCUGAGGAGCGAAAGCAUGGGGAGCGAACAGG